UACGUAGGGUGCGAGCGUUAAUCGGAAUUACUGGGCGUAAAGCGCGCGUAGGCGGUUUGAUAAGUCGAUUGUGAAAUCCCCGGGCUCAACCUGGGAAUUGCAGUCGAGACUGUCAGACUAGAGUGUGGGAGAGGGUGGUGGAAUUCCCGGUGUAGCGGUGAAAUGCGUAGAUAUCGGGAGGAACAUCAGUGGCGAAGGCGACCGCCUGGCCCAACACUGACGCUGAGGUGCGAAAGCGUGGGUAGCAAACAGG
rnacentral:rRNA from 1 species